CCUACGGGUGGCAGCAGUGGGGGAUAUUGCACAAUGGGGGGAACCCUGAUCCAGCGACGCCGCGUGAGUGAAGAAGUAUUUCGGGAUGUAAAGCUCUAUCAGCUGGGAAGAAGGAAUGACGGUACCGGAGAAAGAAGCCCCGGCUAACUACGUGCCAGCACCAGCGGUAAGACGGAGGGGGCAAGCGGUAUCCGGAAUUACUGGGUGGAUAGGGAGCGUAGAGGGGGUUGUAAGUCUGGAGUUAAGGGCGGGGGCCCAACCCCCGGACUGCCCUGGAUACUAUGUGGCUAGAGUGCAGGAGAGGUGGGCAGAAUUCCGAGUGUAGCGGUGAAAUGCGUAGAUAUUAGGAGGAACACCAGUGGCGAAGGCGGCUCCCUGGACUAUAACUGACGUUGAGGCUCGAAAGCGUGGGGAGCAAACAGGAUUAGAUACCCCAGUAGUC
rnacentral:rRNA from 1 species